AGAACGAACGCUGGCGGCAGGCUUAACACAUGCAAGUCGAGCGCCCAGCAAUGGGAGCGGCGGACGGGUGAGUAACACGUGGGAACAUGCCUUUCGGUACGGAACAACUUCGGGAAACUGAAGCUAAUGCCGUAUACGCCCUUACGGGGAAAGAUUUAUCGCCGAAAGAUUGGCCCGCGUCUGAUUAGCUAGUUGGUGAGGUAACGGCUCACCAAGGCUUCGAUCAGUAGCUGGUUUGAGAGAACGACCAGCCACACUGGGACUGAGACACGGCCCAGACUCCUACGGGAGGCAGCAGUGGGGAAUCUUGGACAAUGGAGGAAACUCUGAUCCAGCCAUGCCGCGUGAGUGAUGAAGGCCUUCGGGUUGUAAAACUCUUUUAACCCGGGAAGAUAAUGACUGUACCGGGAGAAUAAGCUCCGGCUAACUUCGCGCCAGCAGCCGC
rnacentral:rRNA from 1 species